GAUGAAGAACGUAGCGAAAUGCGAUAAGUAAUGUGAAUUGCAGAAUUCAGUGAAUCAUCGAAUCUUUGAACGCACAUUGCGCCCGCCAGUAUUCUGGCGGGCAUGCCUGUUCGAGCGUCAUUUCAACCAUCAAGCCCCCGGCUUGUGUUGGGGACCUGCGGCUGCCGCAGGCCCUGAAAACCAGUGGCGGGCUCGCUAGUCACUCCGAGCGUAGUAAUACAUCUCGCUCAGGGCGUGCUGCGGGUUCCGGCCGUUAAAAAGCCUUAUUUACCCAAGGUUGACCUCGGAUCAGGUAGGAAGACCCGCUGAACUUAAGCAUAUCAAUGCGGAGGA
rnacentral:misc_RNA from 1 species